UUUAAUUUAAUCUCUUGAUUUAAAACUAAAUUUCCAUGAUUUUCUGUUGCUGGGAUUGGUCCUUUGAAUCACCAUUGUGGUAAAUUUUAAGGUCUUCUUCUUUAGCUGAAGUCUUGCUAUUAGAACCUCAUCUCAUUCUCAAAGUGUCACGUUGUGCUGAGACUUGAGAUAAGAAAUGCUAUUUUAGGAAAAUCCAUCAACUCUUUCUUGAGUCCUGGACUACUAUUACCCUUAGGUGAUGAAAAAACGUGAAGCUGGUAUCAGGGUUGCAGAAUGAACAAGUGAAUGACAUCCUGUAUAAUAUGAGGACACGUUUAGUUGUUGAGCUCAAAAUGGCUGGGGGUGUGUUUUUGAUGAAAUUAGCAUCACUUGACUGAAUCCUAUUGUUGCCAUCAUGUAACUUGUAUACUGAUUGAUCUCUUUUGUUGGACAAAGACAGACCUAGUUUAGAUAUGUCGACAAAAUACAUGAAUAUUCUUGCAAA